rnacentral:rRNA from 1 species
GUGUACGUACAAGCAGUGGGAGCACAGGUUUACCUGUGUGACUGCGUACCUUUUGUAUAAUGGGUCAGCGACUUAUAUUCUGUAGCAAGGUUAACCGAAUAGGGGAGCCGGAGGGAAACCGAGUCUUAAUUGGGCGUUAAGUUGCAGGGUAUAGACCCGAAACCCGGUGAUCUAGCCAUGGGCAGGUUGAAGGUUGGGUAACACUAACUGGAGGACCGAACCGACUAAUGUUGAAAAAUUAGCGGAUGACCUGUGGCUGGGGGUGAAAGGCCAAUCAAACCGGGAGAUAGCUGGUUCUCCCCGAAAGCUAUUUAGGUAGCGCCUCGUGAAUUCAUCUCCGGGGGUAGAGCACUGUUUCGGCUAGGGGGCCAUCCCGGCUUACCAACCCGAUGCAAACUGCGAAUACCGGAGAAUGUUAUCACGGGAGACACACGGCGGGUGCUAACGUCCGUCGUGAAGAGGGAAACAACCCAGACCGCCAGCUAAGGUCCCAAAGUCAUGGUUAAGUGGGAAACGAUGUGGGAAGGCCCAGACAGCCAGGAUGUUGGCUUAGAAGCAGCCAUCAUUUAAAGAAAGCGUAAUAGCUCACUGGUCGAGUCGGCCUGCGCGGAAGAUGUAACGGGGCUAAACCAUGCACCGAAGCUGCGGCAGCGAACGUAUCACUUAAAGCGAUUCAGCGGGUUACGAUUGACGGAGCGAAGCGACGUCAAAGCGUAUACAAAGUCGAGUCGGUUUA